AUGUCAGAGCCGUGUCUGACCCUUCCCAGACAUCUAAAGCUCCUGUCGGACGGCCAAAGUCGAAAGUAAAGACAACUGACAAUGUCAGAGCCGUGUCUGACCUUCCCAGACAUCUAAAGCUCCUGUCGGACGGCCAAAGUCGAAAGUAAAGACAACUGACAAUGUCAGAGCCGUGUCUG